rnacentral:lncRNA from 1 species
GUUUUGGAGCGCAUAGCCUCUCCCGCUCUUGCCUUCGGAGAGAUGGCUUUCCCUUCUAACCUGCCCAAGUGUGAGAGGGACCAAGCACUCAGCCAUCAAUUCCCCAAGGAGGUCUGAGCCCUGAUUUGAGCCUGAUGCCUAUUUCGAAUCCAGCAGCCAGAGUGUAGGUGGCUGCAGUGAACUGAGGCGACCUGCUGAAGUCAGGAUGCUUCUUAAGGACCAGGGGGACUUGCUCGCCAGGCUCAUGGCUGCACAAGGAUGUAAAAGGAAUUCCUGUCGUGACCAAACGCCACUGCCCAUUACAGUGAGGUCCUCUGAGAGGACCUCCAUUGGCCUGCCCAUCAAUUAUGCAUUUCCCCAGCACACCUUCCAGGCCAGCUUCUCGUGUCAGGAUUGUUCCCUGACUGCUCCCCUCUGAGCAAGUGUCUCCACUCUGCUCCUGGGGAAGAGAUAAGAGAUGAGGCACUACCAGCUGAUAGCCUCCAGGGAGCCCAGUGCCAAAGCCUAAGUGGAACAAGGGAAGGGAUGAGUGGGUCCAGAAGCUUCUCUCUUGAACAGGAAUAAGGAGCAUGGGCCAUCCUCUGUUAAACCAGUGGCUCUGGGGAUCUUUCUUGCUUUGAACACAUGUUGUCACUGAACUGUGUGCUUACAAAGGACCCUGGGAUGCAGACGGGUGAGCAAGCUGCCCUUCUGAUAGAUGAGGCAUCUGCCACUUGAAGAGGCACAGGCAGUGUGUAGCUUUGCCUGGCAGGUUCUGGUCGGGCUUGAAAUAGUCCCUAAUCUGGUGGGCAAAUAAUUCUCGUAUCUCUUCUUUUACCAAGGAGGAUGCUCACCCCAACCCUGCGUAUUCGUUACCCGCACUCAGGACAGGAGUCCUGGCCACCGCUUGGAUCUGGUUCUUGGGCUAAGGAGCUUCUGCUCUGAGCUGGCAGCAGACACCCAAUAAGGUCUCAGUGACAGGGCCCUGCUAAGGGAUAAGGAAGAUACGUGAGGACCCAGGGAAGAGCAGCCUGCUGACUACAAGUUCCUCAAGGGCAAGGACCACGUCUGAUGAAUGUCCCACUGCAGCCCAUCCCACAGCACAGCUGUAUCGUGAUAAAAGCAGAACGAGAGAAUAAAUGAAGGAAUGCAAGGCAGACCCCAAGGAAAGCCAAUGGAGAGGUAAAACCAAGCAGCCCCUGGAGGCCUGAGGAGAGGGUGCUAUCUCCAUCUGGGGGAUCUAGGAUGACUUCCUGGAGGAGGUGGCAUUGGAACUUUGGGGAUUCUCUGGCUGUGAAUUCAGAGGGUUCUCCUGCCUCAUUUAGACAUUCAAAGACGACUUACUAAUUAACAACUGGAGAAAGAAUUCUGCAUGCAGACUGUUUGUACCUUAGCCGAGUGUCCCCAAACUUGGGAAACACAGUAGCACUUUAUGUAGGUUUCCAGUUGAGCCUGGAAUCAGCGUGAAUUGUUGGGAGGGGUUUGGGGAGUGGGGUAGACAGGCACAGGCUCUGCAGAGCCUGGCACCACACCCCUCUCUCUUCCCUUCAGAGCACAUCUUUCCAGAGACCAUCACAUUUGAUCUUGCCGAUUAUUUGGUCAACCUCUUUUCUCUGGGCAGCGCUGAUGGGGAACAACAUAUGCUUGGCCUUCUGCCUUCCUCUCCUAUACACACCCCUACACACACCCACAUCACACCCAUUUAUCUCCAUGACAACAAGGGGAGAGAGCGUGGCCUGAUGCUUCCAGGCCUCAAUACGCGGACUUAGAGCCUAGAGACUUAGCAGUUCUGGCCCUGCAGCCUCACAAAGAAGGACUAGAGUGAUUGCAGAGGCCAGGCAUGGAGAAGGGAGGGCUUUGGGGUUGCUUGUGCCCUCAGAGAGGAGGGGUCAUUGCCCUGGGAGCCCUACUGCUGGCCGUUUCCUGAUGAAGAGGUUGGUCAUUUUGCCCCCAAACACCCUCAUCCCUUGUCAGGGAUAAGCAGCGUUUGGGGGAAGGAGGGCCGGCUUUGUAUCCAAUCCCAGCUCUACCAUUUCCCUCUUCUUGUGAGUUCUCUGAACCUCUGGAUCUGCAUCUAUAAAAGGACAACUCCUUGAAAGGACUUCUGUGACUUCUAGAAAUUGGCAUUAAAAAAAAAAUCUAUCAACGCCUCUGUUUUAGAAACUAACCAAAUGAGAUUGGUCAAAAUCAGAGAUAGGGUGUGAGGGGUGGAAAACGUGCAAACCGGCAAAAUAGGGAAACAACUAGUCAGUCUAAUUAAGAAAAAGAGUAGAGACAAAACAAUACCAAAAUUAGGAGUGGGAAAGGGAAUAUGGCCAUUGGUAUUACACAGAGGAUGUUAUAAAACUAAUAUGAGGAUAUAUGAACCAACUCUGUAAAAUAUGUUGAAGACAAGAUCAAAUGCAUAUUUUUCUAUGAAAACAUAUACUUAACUUUAAAAAUGGCAGUUUCAGACUUCCCUUGUGGCUCACAACAUAACUGCAUAGUGUUGCUUCUACAGUGGCUGUGGCUUAACUCUUGGCUCGGGUAUUUCAUAUGCCACAGGUGUGGCCACUUGUUUAAAAAAUAAAAUAAAAAAAUUUUAAAUGACAAGUUCAUCAGAGCAAAACCCUGGGAGAAAGUGGAAGAAAAAGUCAAUGAAUUACAUCUCCAACUAAUUUGCAUCCGUGUAGGAAAACAGGCUAAAAUAGUUUCACAGACUGCUUCUUUUUUUUUCUCUUCAAAAUUUCAAGGAGUUAAUCAUUACCAAGCUAUACAAAGUAUUCCAGAAUGUUUUUUUAAUAAAUCAAUACCUAAUUCAUUUUACAAGUUAGAAUAUUGCUAAUAAUCAUGUUUGACAACGAUAAUAUCCAAAAAAUAAAUCUACAAGAUAUCACCAGUGGAUUUACAUGUAAAGAUUCUAACUAAAGUAUGCAUAUAUAUCAAAUUUCUGAAGUGUAUUAAAAGGAUAACAUACUAUGAUUAAGUAGGGUAUAAUCUGGGUAUGGUAGGUUUAAAAAUCAAUCAACAUAAUUUAUCAAGUUAAAAAUAGUAAAGUAUUGAGUUCCCAUUGUGUCUCAGUGGGUUAAGAACCUGACAUAGUCUCUGAAGAUGUGGGUUCAAUUCCUGGCUUUGCUCAGUGGGUAAAGGAUCCGGCAUGCCGCAAGCUGCAGCGUAAGAUUGCAGAUGAGGCUUGGAUGUGAUGUUGCUGUGGCUGUGGUAUAGGCCAGCAGCUGCAGCUCCGAUUCAAUGCCUAGCCUAGGAACUUCCAUAUGCUGUAGGUGUGGCCAUGAAAAGAAUAAUAAAAUAAAAAAUAAAACAAACCUUGAUUGCACUUUUACUAUCCUAUUAAAAUACAUCUAUAUAAAAAUCCUGAAAAUAAAAAUUUCUAAACUGGAUUUCAUCAAAACAAAACAAAAAACCAUAAAAUAGUAAAAUCUUUUAAAAAACACCAUCAAGAGGAGUUCCUGUCAUGGCUCAAUGGUAACAAACUUGACUAAUAUCUAUGAGGAUUCAGGUUUGAUCCCUGGCCUCUCUCGGUGGGUUAAGGAUAUGGUGUUGCUGUGAGUUGAGGUAUAGGUUGCAUAUUCGGCUAGGAUCUGGUAUCGCUGAGGCUGUGGCAUAGGCCAGCAGCUGCAGCUCUGAUUAUACCCCUAGCCUGGAAACAUCCAUAAGCCACAGGUGUGGCCCAAUAAGUAAAAAUAAAUAAAUAAAUAAAUAACAUCAUUGAGAAAAUAAAGAGAUGAAUCACAGACGGAGAAAAAAUAUUUGAAAGUCCUACAUCUGAUAAGGAUGUGUAUGCAGAAUAUAUAUAUAUGCUUAAAAACUACUACAACUCAAUAGGAAGGUAAACAAUGCAAUUACAAAAUAGUAAAAUAUUUGAACAGACCUCUUACCAAAGAAGAUACACGAAUGGCCAAUAGGCACAUGAAAACAAGCUCAUCCUUUCUUAUAAUAUUAAGGAAAUGAAGAUUAAAAUCAAAGUGUUAUAUCACUACAUAUCUACUAGAAUGGCUCUAAUUAAAAAGACUGGCAAUACCACAUGUUGAAAAGAAUGGAGAAACGAGAAGCUUCUUAGAUCAUUGUCAGAAUAUAAAAUGGUACCGCCGCUUUGGAAAACAGCUGGACCGCUUCCUAAUCAGACCACACAGACCAACAAUUCUACUCCUGGAUGUCUACCUAAGUGAAAUGAAAACAAAGAGCCACUCAAAGACUUGCAUAAGGCAGUUCAUAGCAACAUGACCUACAAUAGCUCAAAACUGGAGACCGCUAGAAUGUCCAUCAGCUAGUGACUGGAUGAACAAACUGGUGUGUUCGGACCGGAGGAACAUUCUUAAGGAUAAAAAAAGAAUGAACAUCUGACACAGGUGACAACAUGGCGAACCUCAGACGUGUUACGUUAAGUGAAAGACGGCAGACAGCAGAUAGAAGACUCUACGUUGCAGGAUGCCAUUUAUAUGAAAUUUCUAGAAAAGAGGCAGAAAGAGAGAGAAAGCAGAUCAGUGUUCACCUGGGGCUGGGGGUGAGAGCAGAGGCUGCCUAGAAACAGAUGCCGUUGAGGAGGUGAUGGAAGUCUUCUAAAGCCUGAUUGUGGUGAUACCUUCCCAGCUGUAAACAUUUCCUAAAACUCAUCAAUCUAUACACUUAAAAUGAGUGACUUUCAUGGCAUGCAAAUUAUAUUCCAAAAAAAAGCUGUUUUUCAAUGUUUCUGAAAGGACAGGUAACAAACUGGUAAGUUGUUACCUCUGAGGGACAAAAUCAAAGGCCACAUGUUUGUUUUGUUCUUGGGUGGCUUCUACGUUUUCCUCUCCAUCAGUGGGUAUUACCUUCGUAAUAUCAAAAAUUCCCUCCAGAAAAUACAGUUCCCCAAAUAGCUCUUCACACGGAGUGGGUGCCUGAGAAAUAGAAGGUUCCCUUUUGUUCAAAAAUCCGUCUUCUUAGGGCCAUGUACUGUCCAGCCCUCACUCUGAGCCAUCCUUCCUGUUCCAGGACAGGGUCAGGGCCCAUCCACCCUUCUGUUGGACCCUCCCAUUCUGCUCCCCAGUGACUUAAGAUAUACACAGGACAUCCCUCUUUAGGGAGAUUUUCCACUGUGGGUGGGUCGUGCCCAACCUAAGCUGGAAUCUGAUUCCGCAUGCUUCCUGCUUUAUCAGGAAUCGUUACAGCAACAGUCAGUCACAAUUUGGGUGGCAUGUUGCAAUAGAUAAAGCAUUUUCCUUUUUUCUAAAGUUAUCUUUACACAAGUGUGGCAAGGCCACGAAGACACAGCGGCUCAGCCAUGCACAGUGCCCGCUCAAGCAAGUGGCAAGACGGCCUGACUCCAGAGCCUGCACUUCGGGAUUCGCACGACCUCUGGUUCUGGUCCUCCAUCCCAACCCAAGAGGCUGGCGAUGUUUGCUCCCAGUUUGCAGCUGCACAGACUGCACUCUACCUGCCGUAUCCAAGAGCCUCUAUUUGCUGUGACAUUAUAGUUGCUUCGGGGAAAAUAGCAGCGUUGUUAUGACUCCGGCUGGGGAAGGAGCCGUGGGAGCCAGGAGUCACUGGGAGGAAAGCCGUGUGGAGCAGAGUAAAAGAGGUCCAGAAAUCUGCAGAGGAAUUCCCUUGGGUCUUCAGGAGUACAGGGCCUUGCUGAGCAUCAAACUCCACAACAUCAGGUAACCAACGAAUGGGGGGAUAGUUCCCAGUAUUUACCCAGGGCGGGGAGAUCACAGGAAUGAAGAGUCCUCAGCAGUCACAUUGGUAUUUGGUGGGACCCCAGAGGGGUCACAUCCAGUAUAUUCAGCUGAACUAUCCCUAGAGUGAAGGCUAUGCCAGAUCUGAUCCAGCAACUCUCAGAAAUAGGCUGAAUGUGAUCAAAUAACCCAUAAGUAGCUUAACUGCUUUUCAGAACAAAAGUCCAACUACUUUUAAAAGAAGACGACAAAAUCCAGACACUUCAACAACAUAACAUUCACUGUAUCCAUCAUCCACUAAAAAUCACCAGACUACCAAGAAACAGGAAGAGAAGCAGACUGUAUGGAAGGAGAGCCUGUCCAUACAAAGGGAUGAGAAAUAGUGGAGAUGAGGGAACUGGCCGAGAAGGAUGUUAAACGAUUAUCGUAGUCAGACAUUUCAGGGAAAGUAGGAACAACGAGAGAAUUGGGAAAUAGAAAGAAGAGCAAAUGGAACAUCUAGAGAUUAAAAAAAUACAGUAUCCAAAAUGAAUGUUCCACCGGAUGAGACUGACAAUCUGUUAGAUACUGUAGGGAAAGAGAUCAGCGAACUUGAAAACUUGGCAAAUGAAUUUAUGCACAAUGAAGCACAGAUACUGAAAAAGAGCAAAACCUCAAUGAGCUAUGGGCUAAUAUCAAACAGCCAAACAGAAGCAUGAAAGGGAGGGAGGCAAAACAAUAUAUGGCAAAAAAAAAAAAAAAAAA